UACGUAGGGUGCGAGCGUUAAUCGGAAUUACUGGCGUAAAGAGGGCGUAGGCGGUUCGUUAAGUCAGCUGUGAAAGCCCCGGGCUCAACCUGGGAACUGCGGUUGAAACUGGCGAACUAGAAUCUGGCAGAGGGGGGUGGAAUUCCACGUGUAGCAGUGAAAUGCGUAGAGAUGUGGAGGAACACCGAUGGCGAAGGCAGCCCCCUGGGCUGAGAUUGACGCUCAGGCACGAAAGCGUGGGGAUCAAACAGG
rnacentral:rRNA from 1 species